UUCUUUUAGAUUUAAUUAAAGGUAUCCUCUGCUCAAUGUUUAAAAUUAAUAGCUGCAGUUUGCACUAAGGUAGCAUAAUCAUUUGGUUUUUAAAUGGAAUCUUGGAUGAAUGAGGGAAUAAUAAUAGAUUUUCUUUUUAUUAACAUUUAAAUUUAGAUUUUUAGUAAAAAUACUAAAAUUUUAUUUAGGGACGAGAAGACCCUAUAAAACUUAAUUCUUUUGUUAAUUUAAUAAAAGGAUUAUAAUUGGGGUAAUGAAUAAAGGUAAGAAUGUUAUUAAUUUAAUAAAAUAAUUUUUAUGAUUUAAGAGCCAGAAUUUCUGAAUAGAUGAAUAAGUUACUUUAGGGAUAACAGCAUAAUUAAUGAUUGGAUAGAUCAAAUUGAUAAUUUUGAUUAUGACCUCGAUGUUGGAUUAAUAACUUACUAAUAGGAUAAGAUUAGAAGGAGUAGUCU
rnacentral:rRNA from 1 species